ACAGAUUUAACAGUUAGCCAGAGACAGGGGAGAAGCAGAGGGAAGAGGAGAGAAUGCUAGAAAUAGCAAAAAUGAAGUUCUCUUUGAUAGAUGUACAAAGGUACCAUAAUUAGAACUAUGACAUUCAGGCGAUAAAUGAAACUUAGUGGAUAAGAUCCUGAGGAUCUGAGACUUACCUAGUCCAUACAUGAAUGAAAACAGAUUGGAGGUGACCCAGUAACAAAAUAUUGCCUGCAAUCAUAUCCAAACCAGAUUGGUUAGGUUUGCUAUAUAUUAAAAUUUCACUUUCUUAGAGAUCUUGGAAUAAUUGU